rnacentral:rRNA from 1 species
CUACCCUUGACAUGUACGGAACCCUGCUGAGAGGUGGGGGUGCCCGAAAGGGAGCCGUAACACAGGUGCUGCAUGGCUGUCGUCAGCUCGUGUCGUGAGAUGUUGGGUUAAGUCCCGCAACGAGCGCAACCCUUGUCCCUAGUUGCUACGCAAGAGCACUCCAGGGAGACUGCCGGUGACAAACCGGAGGAGGGUGGGGAUGACGUCAAGUCAUCAUGCCCCUUAUGUCCAGGGCUACAAGCGUGCUACAAUGGCCGGUACAAAGGGCUGCGAAACCGCGAGGUGGAGCGAAUCCCAAAAAGCCGGUCCCAGUUCGGAUUGAAGGCUGAAACUCGCCUUCAUGAAGUCGGAGUUGCUAGUAAUCGCGGAUCAGCAACGCCGCGGUGAAUACGUUCCC